GGCCGGAUAGCCUAGUGGUGGGUUAGGUGGGUGUUCAACACCUACUGAUUGAAAGGUUCUGGGUUCGAACCCCAAUGUCCGUCCU